AGAGUUUGAUCAUGGCUCAGGACGAACGCUGGCGGCGUGCUUAACACAUGCAAGUCGAGCGGUAAGGCCUCUUCGGGGGUACACGAGCGGCGAACGGGUGAGUAACACGUGGGCGACCUGCCCUCAGCUCUGGGAUAAGCCUGGGAAACUGGGUCUAAUACCGGAUAUGACCUUGUGUUGCAUGACAUGGGGUGGAAAGUUUUUUCGGCUGGGGAUGGGCCCGCGGCCUAUCAGCUUGUUGGUGGGGUGAUGGCCUACCAAGGCGACGACGGGUAGCCGGCCUGAGAGGGCGACCGGCCACACUGGGACUGAGACACGGCCCAGACUCCUACGGGAGGCAGCAGUGGGGAAUAUUGCGCAAUGGGCGGAAGCCUGACGCAGCGACGCCGCGUGGGGGAUGACGGCCUUCGGGUUGUAAACCUCUUUCGACCCUGACGAAGCGUGAGUGACGGUAGGGGUAGAAGAAGCACCGGCCAACUACGUGCCAGCCGCCGCGGUAAUAC
rnacentral:rRNA from 1 species